UGCGUAGGCGGAAUAUUAAGUCAGUGGUGAAAUCCUGCGGCUCAACCGUGGAACUGCCAUUGAUACUGAUAUUCUUGAAUGUAGUUGAGGUAGGCGGAAUGUGUAAUGUAGCGGUGAAAUGCUUAGAUAUUACACAGAACACCGAUUGCGAAGGCAGCUUACUAAACUAUGAUUGACGCUGAGGCACGAAAGCGUGGGGAGCGAACAGGAUUAGAUACCCUGGUAGUCC
rnacentral:rRNA from 1 species